GGGCCCACCUGGGCAGCACGUGUACCGAAACUGUACAGGUCCAGGGAAGUUUGCAUGGCCCCUGUGCAAGGAUGACAUGCAAAUUCAUAAAGCGUUCCAUGUUUUU